GUGAUUGGAUGGCAUGUGUUUGCAGGCUCUUUUCUWWGUGCAUUGAAUUGUUGGCACACCAUUCGCUUCAAUUUUCCCCCGGGCGCUUUCUUUGGCYUGUGGGUUCGGUUGGUAUCCUGUGUUGCUUACCCACGUAUUGGAAUUGCUGGGUUUCGGUGCUCUCAUCCGUCUUGUGCCUUUUGGGGUGUGGGACGGACGCGAGGCGGGCUUUGUGAUCCCGGCGUGCUUCGUGCUGAGUUGCGUGGCUGUCUUGGAGCGUGAAGUCUUUGCUCGUUCUCUCGGAUGUGGAAUGUUUGUGCGCGGGCGUGGGGCCUCGGCCUUGAUCCGCCCGAGCUUUACGCAGAUGUCCCUUGACGCGAAUGACAGCUGCUCCCGUCUCGAUCCCGUCGUGCGGGAGUCAGCGUCGCCGAGGAAUGCUACCUGGUUGAUCCUGCCAGUAGUCAUAUGCUUGUCUCAAAGAUUAAGCCAUGCA
rnacentral:misc_RNA from 1 species